AUCCAGCUGAUGAGCCCUAAAUGGGACGAAACGCGCGUCUAGACUGGAU
rnacentral:hammerhead_ribozyme from 1 species